rnacentral:rRNA from 1 species
AUGGGCACGGAGGGUGGCACUAUUUCUACAGUCAACACAACUUAUUUUCAAGUUGUCUCUUUCACACACCUCACCUUCUCCUCCACCCUGAUUUUGCAAUCAACGGCAUGCGCCCGCAACAUUGCCAUCACUAAUAUCUACGCCCCCUCUUCACGUGCACUCAAACAAUCUUUCUUAAACGAGCUCCUAACUAUCGCACAACCAGAUGAUUCCCCAUGGCUUAUUGCUGGAGACUUCAACCUCCUUCGCUUCCCCUCUGACAAAAACAAUCAUGCCUUCCGACAAUCUGAGGCCAACGCUUUCAACCAAACCUUAGACGACCUAGCCCUCAUAGAGUUGCCGCUACUUGAUCGCCAGUUCACCUGGUCGAACAAUAGAGAUACGCCCACCUUAGAACGGAUCGAUCGAGCUUCCUUUAACUUAGGCUGGGCUGACGCCUUCCCUAACACAUCAUUAUCUUCACUCACGCGUUUUACGUCCGAUCACGUCCCCCUCCUCGUCCACGUCACCACAACGAUUCCUCGGUCCAAUUUCUUUAAAUUCAAGCCUGGCUGGGCCAACUUCCAGCCAUGUGGAGACAUUAUCAGGAGAAUCUGGGCUCCAUCUCAGCCCACAUCGUCAGUCAACUCUGCCGCUGCUCUUGCCUCCAUGCUCAAAAAAUCUCAGGCCGGGCUAAAAAAAUGGGCAUGA